rnacentral:lncRNA from 1 species
UCAGAGGUCACUAUUUCUUCAGUCCCUCCUGAAAGGAAAUCUUGCCCUUACUACUUGUGCCAACGUUAGGAGUGCCUAGCAAUGUUCCUAUGGAAAUAAAACCUCAGGUGGGUCUGCUUGCUCCUGGGUAUCUCACUCUUAAGCAGGAGACACGAUUCUUCCUUCAGUGUAAGGCUCAUAAACAACUGAAGAAAUACACAGACACGUACACCAGGAUUAGCCAAACUGUAGUGGGUGCUGUACUGGGAGUUCAAAGACUACGCAGCGGAGGAGAAAGGAUCUGAAGACAAGGAGAAAGAGAAGGAAGGAGUGAGAAGGAUGGAACAAGGGCAUUGCAGGAGGGUGCUCAAAUCCUCAUCACAACAAUGUUCAUUGAAGCCUUACAGUCUUCAAGGAAACCUUCAGACUUUCCUUUGUGCAAACAUCCUUCUGAGCUUGGCUCCAAUCCUCCUCCACCUCGACAUCCAGGUCUCUCCCGUGUGUAUGAUAUACAAGAGCCACAGUCUACUGCACGCUGCUCCCGUCUCUGCACCAGGGAUCCGAGCUCCCAAACUUUCGGGCUUCUGCAUAUGCUGUAGUUUCCUUGGGAGUAGCAUCCCACCCACCUUUCAUCUGCCUAAUUCCUACUCAUCCUUAAUGCUUCCCUUGGGAUUUCCCCACAGAGUGGAAUUCAGAAGGCGGCCCUGCUAUGCCAUCACCUCCUCCCGCAGCCCCCUGCAUGGUUGCUGUUGGCUUCUUUCUGUCCCCCUAGAGAGUUUCUGCCUCCUUGAAGGCGAACUCCUUGUUUAGCCCCCACCCACCUCUUCCCACUUCCCAGGCGCUGUCUGUGUCCAACCUACAGUGAAGACAUUAAUAGGCAAUUAGACUAAUAAACAAACAAAGUAUUUUAAGAAAUUAAACUUCCUGUAAUAUGGUGUCAUUUAUCUGGAAUCUGCAAGAAUAUGACUGAGCAUUGAGAAGGGAGAUGAAUAAUGAGAACUCAGAG